rnacentral:lncRNA from 1 species
GUGGUUCAGAAGAAAAGAGAAAAGAGUUGGUGGCCUCAAGUAAGAAAUUUAGGGGCCUACGUUGUCUUCCGGUGUCCGAGGUGUGUAACUGAAGAAGCUUAAAUCCCCUGGAGACCUGGAGGCCCUCCUGGAGAAAAACAUUCUUAACAUGAGUUAUAUCGCCUGAACCUGUUGUUUGGUAGAGUUCCCGUGUAGGGAGGUAUCCCCAUGGGAGCUACAUCACCACCAGUUGGUCCACCGGGGCAAUCGUCAAUAUCAGACUUUUCGGCGCCAAUCAACUUUUUUUUUUUUUUUUUUUCCUUCUCGCCAAGCAUUGUAAAGCGAAUAUAUACAUGAUCAUCUCACAGUCAUUAGCUCAGUCCUCCAGAACUUCAUCGGAAGCUUCACCGUCUGCGAGCGCGUGUAACAAACAAAGAUGGCUGCAAAGAUGACUACCGGUAAGCCUCAAAUUCUUCCCAAACUUUUUCUCUGUAGUUUUCUAAAUAGUUUUAGAAAACUAUUAAUGAAUGAACUAUUAAUGAUUAACUACUAUUUACGAAUAACUGUGUUUUAGAAGUUACAGUAGAGGUUCACCAUAUGCCAAUUUAUCCUGGUAAGCAAUCCGUGAUCUUUUUAACCUGAAAGUUGUUCUAUUUUUAUUCUAGAUUUUUAAGUGUAAUUUUCUGUAUCUUUAAAGUCAGCGCCGAUGAGUUUGAAGGAAUAACCCUCACGCAAACAGACAUUGAUCUGUUAGCCAGGGCUGAAAGAUUGGUAUCCGAAGACAACCAAGAAACUGAAAAAGCAGUAAAAGCAUUGCUGUGUUCUGAAACCCCACCCCCCGUGCAGGGGACAAAUUGCUGUGUAACUGAAAUUGGUGAAAUUGAGAUUGAGAGGGAAACCUCGGCACUUCAACAUGGGACUGACUCAAGUAAGCAGACGAACAAACUCUCCAGAAGACGUGUGAGACAGCCAGGAGGACCGAAGUCGACUGUACAAGAACCAUCAAAACAGAACCUUCAAACGUGCGCCUCUCUGAGCACUGUGACUCCCACGGCCUUUCCACCCUCCCGUGAACCUUCUGCCCCUGCGAGGAGACGUAGAAUACGGCAAGCGUGUACCACUCUGACCCCUGUACUUACAGCGGGACCCACGGCAGCUCCACUCUCCCUUUCACCAGAUCCUUUCGAACCUGCGAGGCCGAUAAGGAGACGUAGGAACCAGAGACACAAGUCUAACAUUGUCAGGAGAUUGUUUGAUGGUAUAUUUUAUACUAUAUCUUCUUGACUAAUAAUAAUAAUAAUAUAUAAAAAAAAUAAUAACUCAUCUCUCAUCUAAUUACAGAUUCAGGGUUGAGAUUAAACGAGAGCGUCCCUGAACCGUCCUUCAACAGGGUGGAGGGGGAUACGGGGGGCAACGAUCAUUCCCAACAACAGCACGAGCACCACGAGAGCGUUCCUGAUCCGCUCUUUGACAGGGUGGAGGAGGAUACAGGCUGCUACAUUCAUUCCCAACACCCCCAAGACAAGGUAGUGCUGGAGAUUUUCAAUAAUGUCAUACGGUAUAUUGUUUCCUCCAAUUGUAACCAAAGGUGUACUAAAACAGUGUUGAAAAAGCUGUAAUUUUUUUUUUCCUUU